UUUGAUCCGAAAAUUUCCGAAUGGGGAAACCCACCACUUUAUGUGGUACUUUAAACUGAAUACAUAGGUUUAAAGAGACAACCUGGAGAACUGAAACAUCUAAGUAACCAGAGGAAAAGAAAUCAAUUGAGAUUCCGUUAGUAGUGGCGAGCGAACGCGGACUAGGCCAGUAAUUUUGUUAAAAAAAUUUGAAUAGUUUGGAAAUGCUAACCAUAGAGGGUGAUAGUCCCGUAUGAGUAAUGUUUAACAAAAUUCUUGAGUAAAGCGGGACACGAGAAAUCCUGCUCGAAUAUAGGGGGACCACCCUCUAAGCCUAAAUACUCUUCAGUGACCGAUAGUGAACUAGUACCGUGAGGGAAAGGUGAAAAGAACCCCUAUUAGGGGAGUGAAAUAGAACCUGAAACUGCAUGCCUACAAUCAGUCGAAGCUCUUUUUAGAGUGACGGCGUACCUUUUGUAUAAUGGGUCAGUGACUUAAUUUAUAAAGCAAGCUUAAGCCAUCUAGGUGUAGGCGCAGCGAAAGCAAGUCUUAAUAGGGCGAUUAGUUUUAUGAAUUAGACCCGAAAACGAAUGAGCUUACCAUGAGCAGGUUGAAAGUUGGGUAACACCAACCGGAGGACCGAACCAGUUGACGUUGAAAAGUCUUUGGAUGACUUGUGGUAAGGGGUGAAAGGCCAACCAAAUUCGUAGAUAGCUGGUUUUCCGCGAAAACUAUUUAGGUAGUGCGUUGAAUAAAUAGAUGUUUAGAGGUAGAGCACUAAAUGGGCUAGGGGGAAGAGAUUCUUACCAAACCUAAUAAAACUCCGAAUGCUAGACAUUGUUCUUCAACAGACAGACUGUGGGUGCUAAGGUCCAUGGUCGAGAGGGAAAGAGCCCAGACCACCAGAUAAGGUCCCAAAAUUAUGAUUAAGUGUGAAAGGAUGUGGAAAUUCCUUAACAGCCGGGAGGUUGGCUUAGAAGCAGCCAUCCUUUAAAGAUAGCGUAACAGCUCACCGGUCUAAUAGAGUUUCUGCGCCGAAGAUGUAACGGGGCUAAAAUCAUAUACCGAAUCUGUGGGUUUAUAAAACUUUCGAGUUUUAUAAGCGGUAGCGGAACGUUCUGUAAGCCUGCGAAGGGAUACCCGUGAGGGAUCCUGGAGGUAUCAGAAGUGCGAAUGCUGACAUAAGUAACGAUAAAAGAAGUGAAAAACUUCUUCGCCGAAAAUCCAAGGGUUUCUGCGCAAGGUUAAUCCGCGCAGAGUUAGUCGGCACCUAAGGCGAGGGCGAAAGCCGUAGUCGAUGGAAAUAAGGUUAAUAUUCCUUAACCAGAUGGUAGUGACGGAUCUUGUAAGUUGUGUACUCUUAAUGGAUUGAGUAUGCCGCGAAAAGAUUCCAAGAAAUAGCUCCAUCAUUAGACCGUACCCUAAACCGACACAGGUGGAUUAAUAGAGUAUAUUUAGGCGCUUGAGAGAAUGAUGUUGAAGGAACUCGGCAAAAUGCUUCCGUAACUUCGGGAUAAGGAAGACCUGUUUUUAGGCAACUAGAGAUGGGUGGCACAAGCCAGGGAGAAGCGACUGUUUAUCAAAAACACAGGGCUCUGCUAACACGUAAGUGGAUGUAUAGGGUCUGACGCCUGCCCGGUGCUGGAAGGUUAAUGCGGUUGGUGCAAGCUAACUUCUGAAGCCCCAGUAAACGGCGGCCGUAACUAUAACGGUCCUAAGGUAGCGAAAUUCCUUGUCGGGUAAGUUCCGACCUGCAUGAAUGGCGUAACGAUUUCUCCGCUGUCUCCAACAUCAACUCAGUGAAAUUGAAUUCUCCGUGAAGAUGCGGAGUUCGCGUAGUUAGACGGAAAGACCCCGUGCACCUUUACUGCAACUUUACAUUGGUAUUAGGAAAAACAUAUUUAGUAUAGGAGGGAGACAUUGAAGCAAAAGCGUCAGCUUUUGUGGAGUCACCAGUGAAAUACCUCUUUUGUUUUUCUUGGUAUCUAACUGAUUGCCGUCAUCCGGCAUCAAGACAUUGUAUGGUGGGUAGUUUGACUGGGGCGGUCGCCUCCCAAAUAGUAACGGAGGCGUGCGAAGGUAGGCUCAGAACGGUCAGAAAUCGUUCGUAGAGUGCAAUGGCAUAAGCCUGCCUGACUGUGAGACUGACAAGUCGAGCAGAGACGAAAGUCGGUCAUAGUGAUC
rnacentral:rRNA from 1 species